GGAAGCGUGGAUUUCCCCAAACUAACUUUUAGUGAAAGGGUGAAGCUUAGAGCUGGUGUUAACAAAAUCUCCCUUCUGAGUGUUGCAGUUGGGCUUCUGGUUCGUUUUCUCCCUCUCUAUUUGUGUCUUUCUGCACAUGGACUUGUCUAAAUAUAUUAUCUUUGCACAUCAAAACUAACUGAUUUUUCAGAAACAUAAACGGUAGUUGAUGUCAUGACUAUGUCUGAUUAGACGUGGUCGAGGGAGAAGUCGCAAUCCACCUCAGUCUUCCUUAGGCUAUGCUGAAACAAGAGGUUUCUACUGCAUCAUCAAAAGUCACUGCUCUUAAAAAAGGUGAUCGAGUAAAAUUUGUCGGUAACUUUCCACCUGCUGUCUCAUCACUAUAAAAUUAUUCUUCAAGGGCGGAUUCUAGCGUGAGAGCCACUUAUAUGUCUCACCCGUGAGAGACUGAAUUUUAACCGCUGGAUGAGUUAAACGGUUGUGAUGUUGUACCUGGAGAGGGGAAAAUUCCUGCAGUUAUACCAGUAUAUAGCAGUUGUGUUCGGAUAUCGGAUGAUUAACUAAUCAUGUAUAUGCCAGAAUAUGCAUUUGGUGAGAGUGGAAAACCUUCAUCAGGAGAUGAUGGUGUUGUGCCUCCCAAUGCUUCGCUCCAAAUGGAUCUUGG